rnacentral:sRNA from 1 species
AUCGCAUCAUCCAUGGUGGUGUAUGAACACUUAGCGCGUGAGAUCGACCAUGGAAGUGAGGCACAUCAGCAGG